UGGGGAAUAUUGGACAAUGGAGGCAACUCUGAUCCAGCAAUUCUGUGUGUGUGAAGAAGGUUUUAGGACUGUAAAACACUUUUAGUAGGGAAGAAAGAAAUGACGGUACCUACAGAAGAAGCGACGGCUAAAUACGUGCCAGCAGCCGCGGUAAUACGUAUGUCGCGAGCGUUAUCCGGAAUUAUUGGGCUUAAAGGGCAUCUAGGCGGUAAGACAAGUUGAAGGUGAAAACCUGUGGCUCAACCAUAGGCUUGCCUACAAAACUGUUGAACUAGAGUACUGGAAAGGUGGGUGGAACUACACGAGUAGAGGUGAAAUUCGUAGAUAUGUGUAGGAAUGCCGAUGAUGAAGAUAACUCACUGGACAGAAACUGACGCUGAAGUGCGAAAGCUAGGGGAGAAAACAGG
rnacentral:rRNA from 1 species